UGGGGAAUAUUGCACAAUGGGCGCAAGCCUGAUGCAGCCAUGCCGCGUGUGUGAAGAAGGCCUUCGGGUUGUAAAGCACUUUCAGCGAGGAGGAAGGUGGUGAACUUAAUACGUUCAUCAAUUGACGUUACUCGCAGAAGAAGCACCGGCUAACUCCGUGCCAGCAGCCGCGGUAAUACGGAGGGUGCAAGCGUUAAUCGGAAUUACUGGGCGUAAAGCGCACGCAGGCGGUUUGUUAAGUCAGAUGUGAAAUCCCCGGGCUCAACCUGGGAACUGCAUUUGAAACUGGCAAGCUAGAGUCUCGUAGAGGGGGGUAGAAUUCCAGGUGUAGCGGUGAAAUGCGUAGAGAUCUGGAGGAAUACCGGUGGCGAAGGCGGCCCCCUGGACGAAGACUGACGCUCAGGUGCGAAAAGCGUGGGGAGCAAAACAGGAUUAGAUACCCCUGGUAGUCCACGCCGUAAACGAUGUCGAUUUUGGAGGUUGUGCCCUUGAGGCGUGGCUUCCGGAGCUAACGCGUUAAAUCGACCGCCUGGGGAGUACGGCCGCAAGGUUAAAACUUAAAUGAAUUGACGGGGUCAUAGCUGUUUCCU
rnacentral:rRNA from 1 species